rnacentral:misc_RNA from 1 species
ACUUGGUUUAGGUAAUGAGU